AAGUGGGACGAUAAAGUAUGUUUUGGAUAUUCUUUCGGUAUGCAAGAAUUUGCUAUACAACAGAGCAAUCCCCGAUCACUAAAAAAUUACACUGGAAAAGUUUCGGUAGUUGCAUCACACUAGAUUUAUAAAAGUCACUAGUUCAAGGGUCACUGUCAAGGACUAUAUAACGUCAUUUAUGUUUUUUAAGUAUUGAGUUGGAGAUCAACAUAACAAUUGCGCAAACUUGAUAAAAUUAGUAACCAUACUAUGGCUAUAAAUACCAUGGUUAUUUACAAUAGAUUCACUACUCAGUUAUCUGUCUGACUUGCAAGUACUCGCAUCUUUAGUUCAUACCUAGAAAAAAAACUAAAAUGACCAAAUUUACUUUGUUGUUAUCAAUUAUUUUAUUUAUUGGCUUCUGUGCUAGUGCAGUUGAAGCAAAUUGCGAUGGGCAUUGGUGUCAUCCUUCCGCUGGCUAUAAUUGCGGUUGUACCGAUUACUAUUGUAGUUCAGACUUUAGUCAAGGCACUUGCAAGAAACACGAUUAUCCCCUUCCUUUCAUUCCGUACGGAAAAUAAAAUAAAAUAUUGUUGAAAAAUCCGAAAGUUCAAACCUGCAACACUCAUUUUUUAUAUUUAAUUAUCAAUUUACUAUUAUAAAUUGUCAAACUAUGUACUCCUUCCCCGAUUGAAGAAAAUAAAUUGAAAUUAUUUUCAAUGUUAAAUCUCCAUAAGAGAAAUGAUUUAAAAAUUAUUUGAGAUAUUUAAUCUAAUUCGAGUUCAAAUCAUUUUAAGUCAUUUCAAAUCAGCUUCGUUAAUCAGAAUUAUAAAAAAGCUAAAAUAAAUGGUACCCGUUUAGUGAAAAAAACAUUUUUUUAACCGAAGUUUAUUAUUUUAACAACUCCAAAUAAUUAUAUACUUUUGUUUAAUAUUCAUUUCUUUACCAUAUUUUUUCCUUUUCCACUGAAUGUAUAUGAAAAAAUAGUAUAUCGUGUAGCAAGAGAUGAAACAAAACCAUUUCAGACCAGGGUAAAGUUGGCUGACAUCGCCCGCAGUCUGAAAUCGUGUUCCAUCCUGAAUUACACACAAUAUCGGUGUCAGCAGUCAGUACACUGUAAAAAAUUGGGAGUGAAUCCGGAUUUAAUUCCAAUCCGAAUUCACUCCACCACUCGGAGUUCCUGAGUUUUAAAAAUCCAGUGCUGCCAAUCUCCGGGUAAUUACCCGUUUUUUGGGUAGUGCUUGUUUUCCACUGGUUAUCAUUAUACUAUAGACUUGUUCCGUGCUACACUGAACUAUUUUACAUAUAUAACUUGUCGUUCAGUGUCUUGACUCAUAAGUCAACCACCAUAACUCAAGGUAUACGCCUACUUGCAUGAUUUUUGUAGUUUCGUCCUGAGUACGUUAACGGACUCGUCAGUAAGGCUAUGUUAACGCACUUUUGCCUUAGACUACAUCUCUUACUAGUACGCGCUGGCGUAAAACCGAGUUUCCGGGCUUCAGCCAGAUACUAUACUAGCCAAGCGAGGCGGAUACCGUCCAAACUACUUGCAACAAAGUGUGAGGUAGGGUUUUCUAUC